rnacentral:rRNA from 1 species
UACGUAGGUGACUAGCGUUGUCCGGAUUUACUGGGCGUAAAGAGCGCGCAGGCGGUCGUUCAAGUCGAGUGUGAAAGCCCCCGGCUCAACUGGGGAGGGUCACUCGAUACUGAUCGACUUGAAGGCAGGAGAGGGAAGCGGAAUUCCCGGUGUAGUGGUGAAAUGCGUAGAUAUCAUGAGGAAGACCAGUGGCGAAGGCGGGUCUCUGGACAGUUCCUGACACUGAGGCACGAAGGCCAGGGGAGCAAACGGG